AGCUUUGCGCCGAGGCGGUGUCGUACCCAAUGAAGUAACUGAGGGGCGACUAUUGCUAGUUGAAAACUUUGUAGAUUGGACUACAGAAACAACAUUAAAGACCAAUAAUUAUUUAAUUUUUCCGUUCGUUAGUAACG